UACGGAGGGAGCAAGCGUUACUCGGAAUUAUUGGGCGUAAAGGGCGCGUAGGCGAUUUGAAAAGUCUUGUGUGAAAGCCCCGAGCUUAACUCGGGAAGUGCACAAGAAACUGUUGAAUUUGAGUUCCGGAGAGGAAGGCAGAAUUCCCGGUGUAGCGGUGAAAUGCGUAGAUAUCGGGAGGAAUACCAGUGGCGAAGGCGGCCUUCUGGACGGAUACUGACGCUGAGGGCGCGAAAAGCCAGGGGAGCAAACGGG
rnacentral:rRNA from 1 species